AUUGAACGCUGGCGGCAGGCCUAACACAUGCAAGUCGAACGAGUGGCGGACGGGUGAGUAAUGUCUGGGAAACUGCCCGAUGGAGGGGGAUAACUACUGGAAACGGUAGCUAAUACCGCAUACCAUCGGAUGUGCCCAGAUGGGAUUAGCUGGUAGGUGAGGUAACGGCUCACCUCGGCGACGAUCCCUAGCUGGUCUGAGCGGAUGACCAGCCACAGUGGAACUGAGGCACGGUCCCGACUCCUACGGGAGGAAGCAGUGGUGAAUAUUGCACAAUGGUCGCAAGUCGUAUGCAGCCAUGCCGCGGGUAUGAAGAAGGCCUUCGGGUUGUAAAGUACUGUCAGCGGGGAGGCGUUAUCCGCAGAAGAAGCACCGGCUAACUCCGUGCCAGCAGCCGCGGUAAUUC
rnacentral:rRNA from 1 species